GACGAACGCUGGCGGCGUGCCUAAUACAUGCAAGUCGAGCGAAUUUACGAGAGCUUGCUCUCGUAAAUUAGCGGCGGACGGGUGAGUAACACGUGGGCAACCUGCCUAUAAGACUGGGAUAACUUCGGGAAACCGGAGCUAAUACCGGAUAAUUCACAUCUACUCAUGUAGAUGUGCUGAAAGACGGUUUACGCUGUCACUUAUAGAUGGGCCCGCGGCGCAUUAGCUAGUUGGUGAGGUAACGGCUCACCAAGGCCACGAUGCGUAGCCGACCUGAGAGGGUGAUCGGCCACACUGGGACUGAGACACGGCCCAGACUCCUACGGGAGGCAGCAGUAGGGAAUCUUCCGCAAUGGACGAAAGUCUGACGAGCAACGCCGCGUGAGUGAUGAAGGUUUUCGGAUCGUAAAACUCUGUUGUUAGGGAAGAACAAGUACCGGAGU
rnacentral:rRNA from 1 species